CCUACGGGAGGCAGCAGUAGGGAAUAUUGCUCAAUGGGGGAAACCCUGAAGCAGCAACGCCGCGUGGAGGAUGAAGGUUUUCGGAUUGUAAACUCCUUUUGUUAGAGAAGAUAAUGACGGUAUCUAACGAAUAAGCACCGGCUAACUCCGUGCCAGCAGCCGCGGUAAUACGGAGGGUGCAAGCGUUACUCGGAAUCACUGGGCGUAAAGCGCGCGUAGGCGGGAUAGCAAGUCAGAUGUGAAAUCCUAUGGCUUAACCAUAGAACUGCAUUUGAAACUGUUAUUCUAGAGUAUGGGAGAGGUAGGUGGAAUGCGUGGUGUAGGGGUAAAAUCCGUAGAGAUCAAGAGGAAUACUCAUUGCGAAGGCGACCUGCUAGAACAUAACUGACGCUGAUGCGCGAAAGCGUGGGGAGCAAACAGGAUUAGAUACCCGAGUAGUC
rnacentral:rRNA from 1 species